UAUUUAAAUAGCUUAAAAUUUAAGAGUGUAAUAUUGAAGAUAUUAAGGUGAUUGAUUAAUCUUUAAAUAU
rnacentral:tRNA from 1 species